rnacentral:rRNA from 1 species
AAGCUGGCGGCUGCCUACCAUGCAAGUCGAGCGGGGACAUACGACGGAUAGGAAGUUUUCGGAUGGAAUUGAAGAUGUAUAGUUCUAGCGGCGGACGGGUGAGUAACGCGUGAGCAACCUGUCCCUUACAGGGGGAUAACACAGCGAAAGUUGUACUAAUACCGCAUAAGACCACAGGGAGACAUCUUCCAGGGGUCAAAGGAGCAAUCCGGUAAGGGGUGGGCUCGCGUCCGAUUAGAUAGUUGGUGAGGUAACGGCCCACCAAGUCGACGAUCGGUAGCCGACCUGAGAGGGUGAUCGGCCACAUUGGGACUGAGACACGGCCCAAACUCCUACGGGAGGCAGCAGUGGGGAAUAUUGGGCAAUGGGGGAAACCCUGACCCAGCAACGCCGCGUGAGGGAAGAAGGUUUUCGGAUCGUAAACCUCUGUCCUUGGUGAAGAGGAAGAGACGGUAGCCAAGGAGGAAGCCCCGGCUAACUACGUGCCAGCAGCCGCGGUAAU